rnacentral:rRNA from 1 species
GAUGAACGCUGGCGGCGUGCCUAAUACAUGCAAGUCGAGCGAACAGACGAGGAGCUUGCUCCUUUGACGUUAGCGGCGGACGGGUGAGUAACACGUAGGUAACCUACCUAUAAGACUGGGAUAACUUCGGGAAACCGGAGCUAAUACCGGAUAAUAUUUCGAACCGCAUGGUUCGAUAGUGAAAGAUGGCUUUGCUAUCACUUAUAGAUGGACCUGCGCCGUAUUAGCUAGUUGGUAAGGUAACGGCUUACCAAGGCAACGAUACGUAGCCGACCUGAGAGGGUGAUCGGCCACACUGGAACUGAGAAACGGUCAGGACUCCUACGGGAGGAAGCAGUAGGGAAUCUUCCGCAAUGGGCGAAAGCCUGACGGAGCAACGCCGCGUGAGGGAUGAAGGUCUUCGGAUCGUAAAACUCUGUUAUUAGGGAAGAACAAACGUGUAAGUAACUGUGCACGUCUUGACGGUACCUAAUCAGAAAGCCACGGCUAACUACGUG